GCCAGCAGCCAUAUCACCCUGCAACUCACAACUGGCAAUCCACUGAAGCUAAGCAGGUAUGAGCCUGGUCAGUACCUGGAUGGGAGACCUCCUGGCAGGUGUUAGUGGGGCCAGCA
rnacentral:rRNA from 1 species